rnacentral:rRNA from 1 species
AACGAACGCUGGCGGCAUGCCUAACACAUGCAAGUCGAACGAGAUCUUCGGGUCUAGUGGCGCACGGGUGCGUAACGCGUGGGAAUCUGCCCUUUGGUUCGGAAUAACAGGUGGAAACGACUGCUAAUACCGGAUGAUGACGAAAGUCCAAGAUUUAUCGCCAGAGGAUGAGCCCGCGUAGGAUUAGCUAGUUGGUGUGGUAAAGGCGCACCAAGGCGACGAUCCUUAGCUGGUCUGAGAGAAUGAUCAGCCACACUGGGACUGAGACACGGCCCAGACUCCUACGGGAGGCAGCAGUGGGGAAUAUUGGACAAUGGGCGAAAGCCUGAUCCAGCAAUGCCGCGUGAGUGAUGAAGGCCUUAGGGUUGUAAAGCUCUUUUACCCGGGAUGAUAAUGACAGUACCGGGAGAAUAAGCUCCGGCUAACUCCGUGCCAGCCGCCGCGGUAA